GAUAAACGCUGACAGAAUGCUUAACACAUGCAAGUCGAUGAUGGGAGCUAGCUUGCUAGAAGAAGUCAUGGCGGACGGGUGAGUAACGUGUAAAGAACUUACCAUAUAGACUGGGAUAACAGAGGGAAACUUCUGAUAAUACUGGAUAAGUUAGUAGUAGCAUUACUAAGUAAUGAAAGGUAGCAAUACGCUAUAUGAGAGCUUUGCAUCCUAUUAGCUAGUUGGUGGGGUAAAAGCCUACCAAGGCGAUGAUAGGUAGCCGGCCUGAGAGGGUGGACAGCCACAAGGGGACUGAGAUACGGCCCUUACUCCUACGGGAGGCAGCAGUGGGGAAUAUUGGACAAUGGAGGCAACUCUGAUCCAGCAAUUCUGUGUGUGUGAAGAAGGUUUUAGGACUGUAAAACACCUUUAGUAGGGAAGAAAGAAAUGACGGUACCUACAGAAGAAGCGACGGCUAAAUACGUG
rnacentral:rRNA from 1 species